rnacentral:rRNA from 1 species
UACGUAGGGUGCGAGCGUUAAUCGGAUUUACUGGGCGUAAAGCGUGCGCAGGUGGUUCCUUAAGUCUGAUGUGAAAGCCCACGGCUCAACCGUGGAGGGUCAUUGGAAACUGGAGAACUUGAGUGCAGAAGAGGAGAGUGGAAUUCCACGUGUAGCGGUGAAAUGCGUAGAUAUGUGGAGGAACACCAGUGGCGAAGGCGACUCUCUGGUCUGUAACUGACGCUGAGGCUCGAAAGCGUGGGGAGCAAACAGG